rnacentral:rRNA from 1 species
UACGGAGGGUGCGAGCGUUGUCCGGAAUCACUGGGCGUAAAGGGCGCGUAGGCGGCAUGCCAAGCGUGUGGUGAAAGCCCGGGGCUCAACCCCGGGUCGGCCGUGCGGACUGGCGUGCUCGAGCACUGUAGGGGCGGGUGGAAUUCCCGGUGUAGCGGUGGAAUGCGUAGAGAUCGGGAAGAACAUCAGUGGCGAAGGCGGUCUGCUGGGCCGUUGCUGACGCUGAGGCGCGACAGCGUGGGGAGCAAACAGG